GGGCUUGUGGUUUAGUGGUAUAAUACUCCCUUAGCAGCAGGACUUCAAGCAAGUCCAACUGUGGGAGUGGUCCAGGGUUCGAUUCCCUGCAAGUCCA